GUUAUUGUAGCUUAAAAUGUAGAGCACGGCACUGAAGUUGCCGAGGUGGAAAAUUAAAAAUUCCCAAAAACA
rnacentral:tRNA from 1 species